GCCAGUCAGGGAAGACUCGUCCACCUAAAUAGGAAGACCAAUAAAUUUAUGAUAAACUCUGCGACUCAACAAUCGUCGAUAUGAAAACGGCUGAGUUGGAGCAAGAGAGACAGCUUACCUUAAGAUCAUUGCUUUGUAUAAGGCAGCCAUCGGCGGGUAAAAGGUCGCCAUACUUGAUCUGAGCAAUAUCGCCGACAAGGAUGUCUCCAACCGAAAUUUGGCAUACCUCACCACCACGGAUUACGGAGAAUUUAUGCUCGCCUUCUAUACGGUUCUGCAGCCCGCGAAAUUGUCUUUCCUUUGAGUAAUCAUUAAAAGCUGUCACUAUGACGACUACAAUGACCGAAAUAAGUAUAGCGAGACCCUCAAUCCACCCGUGAUGUUCAUCUUCUUCUUGUAGUAAUGCUACAAUUAAAUAUAAA